AGUGAACGCUGGCGGUAGGCCUAACACAUGCAAGUCGAACGGCAGCACAGUAAGAGCUUGCUCUUACGGGUGGCGAGUGGCGGACGGGUGAGGAAUACAUCGGAAUCUACUUUUUCGUGGGGGAUAACGUAGGGAAACUUACGCUAAUACCGCACACGACCUACGGGUGAAAGCAGGGGAUCUUCGGACCUUGCGCGAUUGAAUGAGCCGAUGUCGGAUUAGCUAGUUGGCGGGGUAAAGGCCCACCAAGGCGACGAUCCGUAGCUGGCCUGAGAGGAUGAUCAGCCACACUGGAACUGAGACACGGUCCAGACUCCUACGGGAGGCAGCAGUGGGGAAUAUUGGACAAUGGGCGCAAGCCUGAUCCAGCCAUACCGCGUGGGUGAAGAAGGCCUUCGGGUUGUAAAGCCCUUUUGUUGGGAAAGAAAAGCAGCAGGUUAAUACCCCGCUGUUCUGACGGUACCCAAAGAAUAAGCACCGGCUAACUUCGUG
rnacentral:rRNA from 1 species